UACGUAGGGGGCAAGCGUUGUCCGGAUUUAUUGGGCGUAAAGCGCUCGCAGGUGGUUCGUUGCGUCGUGCGUGAAAGACCCCGGCUCAACUGGGGAGGGUCGUGCGAUACGGGCGAACUGGAGGCCAGUAGGGGGAUGCGGAAUUCCGGGUGUAGUGGUGGAAUGCGUAGAGAUCCGGAGGAACACCAGCGGCGAAGGCGGCAUCCUGGACUGGUCCUGACACUCAUGAGCGAAAGCGUGGGGAGCGAGCCGG
rnacentral:rRNA from 1 species